rnacentral:rRNA from 1 species
GAUGAACGCUAGCGGCAGGCCUAAUACAUGCAAGUCGGACGGGAUUGGAGAGCUUGCUUUCCAUGAGAGUGGCGCACGGGUGCGUAACGCGUAUGCAAUCUACCUUUAUCAGGGGGAUAGCCUCUCGAAAGAGAGAUUAAGACCGCAUAACAUGAUGAUACGGCAUCGUAUUAUCAUCAAAUAUUUAUAGGAUAAAGAUGAGCANGCGUGACAUUAGCUAGUUGGUGAGGUAACGGCUCACCAAGGCGACGAUGUCUAGGGGAUCUGAGA